AGCAAAAUCUCAACUUUAUUAGAAUAAAAGCCAAUGCAUGCUUUUACAGUAUGGAAAUUGGUGAUUUAUAAUAACUUAGCAAAUCGCAAAGUGAAAACAGGCGAUAAAUCAUUCAAGUUUCUGACCUAUCAGCUUUCGACGGUAUGGUAUUGGCUUACCGUGGCAGUGACGGUUAACGGGGGAUUAGGGUUCGAUUCCGGAGAGGGAGCCUGAGAAACGGCUACCACAUCUAAGGAAGGCAGCAGGCGCGCAAAUUACCCAAUUCUAACAGUUUGAGAGAGGUAGUAACAAGAAAUAACAAUACAAGGCAGUUAAAAUGCUUUGUAAUUGGAAUGAUAGAAAUUUAAACCCUUUUUAAAGUAUCAAUUGGAGGGCAAGUCUGGUGCCAGCAGCCGCGGUAAUUCCAGCUCCAAUAGCGUAUAUUAAAAUUGUUGCAGUUAAAAAGCUCGUAGUUGAAGUUCUGCUAAAAGUAACCGGUCUGCUUUUAAUAAAAGUGGUAUCUUGGUGUGUAUUUAGCAAUGAUGUCCUUUGAAGUGUUUUUUACUUUAUUGUAAUAAAGCAUAUUCAGGACUUUUACUUUGAGAAAAUUAGAGUGUUUCUAGCAGGCCGACGCUUUGAAUACUGCAGCAUGAA
rnacentral:rRNA from 1 species